ACCUCUGUUGGGAAGUGGUGGUAUGUUUUCUGAGGGAAAAUAUGAUAGUAAGGAGGCAGGUGAGGAACCAUAUCAUGCUCAUGCGUGAUCCUGAAGGUGUUAGGCACAAGCAAACUGUAAUAUGAUGCAAAAGCCGCAUUCCCAACACGAGGUUGCCCAAAUGUCAUCACCUGUACGUUUUCUUCUCCUUCAUUUACCUGUGAUUGACAAGACAUUCCAAAUCAAAGUCAAGGAACAAUUUCAAAGGCCAUAACUAUAAGAUAUAAAAAUGUGGUUAGAGUUAAGUAUCAUUACAACUAGGUCUAGUCCACAAAAGGCAGCCAUGGCUCCUCCCAUUGAAUGACCGGUCACAAUGAUGUUGAUGUUCGCACCAUAGGAUAUCUUCGCUCGUUGUACUGCACCCAAAACUGCAGGGCGUAGAGUUGUAUUGUGAUAAGCACUAUAGAAGCCAUGGUGCACCUGCCAAUGCAGACAAGUAUUAGAAAUUCCAACUUACUACAUGACAUCUAGAUGACAAAACUUGACAUUAAAGCGUACCAUUGCAUCUGGCAUGUCAGGGUAAUUGAGAUCGAGCUGUUUCCAGAACAAAUCCGAGACCCAGUUUUGUAUGCUGCACAAAUGUUUGAGCUGAUUAAGCAAUCAAGCAAAUUUAGGCAUGUACCUUAACGAUUACAGUGACAAGAAUAAUACCUGUGUUCUUGAGUUCCCCGGAAUGCAAUAAUGAUAGCAUUCAAAUCCUUUGCCACACCAACAUAUGCCUGUUGUUACAGGUAACCCCUUACUGAUAUUAACAACUGUUCAACUAAAGACAUUGUGUCCAGAUGUAGCUUAUGAUAUCACGACAGACCUGUAGGCAAUGCUCAACGUCAAAUAUUAUCUCUAUUACUUCGAAACCCUGCACCAUCCAAAAGCACGUCAGAAUUCCCAACUGGAGCUAGCUAUUGUGGCUUCAGCCAGUGAUCUGCCUCAACAAAUGUUAUACCUUAGUCAAACCAUUGCAUCUUUCACACGUCCAAUUAAAUAAUUCUGUCAAAUCAGACACAUAGACCUGCAUACACAAACAAACUUGUAUCAUCCAAACUGGUGGACUUUAUCAGCUUACGCUCUCUUCUCUAGUAGUACUAUUAACAGAGUUUUUUUUUUCUAUUAACAACUAUAAAUGAAAACACGAGGAAUAACAUUUGUUAGAGAUAAAUGAAACGGCUGUUACAUCUCUUUUUUCUCAGACUCCAUCUUUUUCUCAGAGAAUAUUAGAGAUAAAUGAAAUGCAAUCGGCAGGGGAAUAACGUAAAACGGUUGUUACAGCUCUUUUUUGUUAUUACUUAAGUAUCUGCAAUAUUAGCUUACCGCAGAAGCAUACUCCACAAGUGUCAGUGUAAGCGUAUGGUUGUACACAUGUCGAUCAUCAUCGCUCUCUUUCUCAUCUAGCGGGUUUGCUAUUUCUUGCAUAAGUGAUAACAUCAAAACCAUACAGUUUACCAGCCAAAUGUCAAUAUCCAUAUAUACAUUAUUACAUAUUUGGAUCCAAUAACAAUGUGAACAUAUGGAUUUAAACCUACGACUUAAUUAAAAAUUACAACUAUACAUUGUUACAUGCUAUUCAUCCUACGACUUAAUUUACAAAAGUCUUUUGUUAUUAUCCACACUUUCUUUCUAGACCCCACAAAGAAUCAACGACCCAUUCUUCUUUCUCCACAUAUGAGUCUCCCAAAACCUUCCCUUUCAAACUUUGCUUGACAAAGACUCUAUCCCACCGACGCCUCUAGACUUUAAAGACUACCAUUUUCGAGUAGAGCUUCUGUUUCGCUAACAGUCGUGGAAGGAAGUGUCCGUGACAUUACUAGGUUACCCUUUGAAUCUUUCCUGGAUCUCAUGGCUCAUCACUAUUGUGCAUUGUCUCCACGUCUCACACCUUAGAUCUAUCCCAAAGUACUUUAAAUGGUCAGAGAUGCUAUUCCCCACCACCGAUCUGAAACGACAAGGAUUAACAAUUAUUAUACUGAGAUCAUCCGCAUUAAAAAUGUCUGGUGACUCAGCUAGAACAUGAAACAUAAGCCAUCUUGUAACGUUUCCUGACCAACAACAGUCAUCGAUCCGGUUGGUUGUGGUAGUUAAUAACAAUCCUAAGUUUCUACUUGCGGAAUGGACCUAUAGCAGCAAACUGUUUAGAGGGAUUGCUCGUUACCUGCUGCAUGUAGGAUCCUCACCAGUGUUGUCACAAACUUUCUCCACACUAGCAAGAACUAGACUCGAAAAACCGAGAUCUCUCACCCACACCUGCAAACCGAAACACACCAUCGGUUCUUCCAGACAGUCAAUAAACCAGACUGAGAAAUUAUAUUCUGAGACAUUUAAAAAACGCUUGCCUAGUCUAGAUUUUUUGCAUAAAGUAGAUUAAUACUAAAAAUGUUAUUCUGAUGAACACCUAGUGGACUGAGAAAACGACGUUACCUCUGUUGGGAAGUGGUGGUAUGUUUUCUGAGGGAAAAUAUGAUAGUAAGGAGGCAGGUGAGGAACCAUAUCAUGCUCAUGCGUGAUCCUGAAGGUGUUAGGCACAAGCAAACUGUAAUAUGAUGCAAAAGCCGCAUUCCCAACACGAGGUUGCCCAAAUGUCAUCACCUGUACGUUUUCUUCUCCUUCAUUUACCUGUGAU
rnacentral:lncRNA from 1 species